GGAGCCUGCUACGAGUAUCGUGAGUCGGGUUUAAUGGCCUUUACGGAAACAUGGUUUAACGAAGAUGUGACGGACAGCUACAUUCAAAUUGAAGGUUUUUCCCACAUACGCCUAGACAGAGACAUUAACUCGGGGAAGACACGGGGAGGCGGGGUGUGUGUGUACAUCAAGGACAGUUGGUGUCGUAACUUUGCGGUGAGAGACAAAAUUUGCAACCCUGAUCUGGAGCUGCUGUGUGUUACCCUGCGGCCAUAUUAUCUCCCGAGGGAAUUUACUAACAUUUUUGUGUGUGUUGUGUACAUCCCGCCAAGCGGCAACGCUGGCAGAGCAGCUAAUGCAAUCACGGACUGUGUGCACCGCCAUCUACAAGCUAAACCGGACGCCCCCAUGUUUAUACUGGGAGAUUUUAACCACUGCAGCAUUAACAAAUCAUUACCUGGCUUUUACCAAUAUGUUAAGUGUAGCACCAGAAACAACAACAUUCUUGAUAAAUGCUAUGGCAAUAUCAAAGACGCCUACACAGCCAGAGCUAGACCCCCCCUGAGUAACUCUGACCACAAUGCCAUUCAGCUGCUCCCUACAUAUAGGUCAGUCUUUAAGUCCAGCAAACCAGUGACUCAGUCAGUGAAGGUAUGGUCCAAUGACAAAGUGGAGGAGCUGAAGGGAUGUUUUCUCUGUACGGACUGGGAUCUCUUUUUCAGGGAUACAGACAUUGACUAUAUCACGGAGCUUAUCACUGCCUGCAUAUGUUUUUGUAUAGAUUCUGUCAUACCCCAGAAAAUUGUUAAACGAUAUCCUAACAACAAACCAUACAUCACAAAAGACAUUAAGGAUUGCAUCAACAGAAAAAGAGCAGCCUUUAAAUCUGGGGACAAAGCAGGAGUCCGGGCCGCUCAAAAAGAACUCAAUGCUCUAAUAAAGGCAGCCAGGCAGCAACACAGGGAGAGGUCAGAACAAAAUCUAUCAGAAGCCAACACAAAGAAACUUUGGGACUCCAUCAGACAAAUGACAAACAUGGACACAAAGAAGAAGCCUCUUUUUGCCCAGAACGAGGCGGCAAGGGCCAACGAACUGAAUGAAUUUUAUAUGCGUUUUAACUCUGAUAACGGCAGUGAGUGUGCAGCAGUUUUGGACAAUGUCAUUUGUGAUGUGAACCGGGAUAGAAUUGUGCUAGAGCCACAUUCUGUAACUAAGAUAUUUAAAGGCAUACAGACUAACAAAGCGACAGGUCCGGACAAUCUGUCGGCUUUCUUUCUCAAAAAUUUUGCAGAUGAACUCUCUCCAGUAUGGCACAAAUUAUUUCAGCUCUCCAU
rnacentral:lncRNA from 1 species